GAUGAACGCUGGCUACGGGCUUAACACAUGCAAGUCGAGGGGAAACGGCAUUGAGUGCUUGCACUGAAUGGACGUCGACCGGCGCACGGGUGAGUAACGCGUAUCCAACCUUCCCGUUACUGCGGGAUAACCUGCCGAAAGGCAGACUAAUACCGCAUGUUCUUCGAUGACGGCAUCAGAUUCGAAGCAAAGAUCCGUCGGUAACGGAGGGGGAUGCGUCUGAUUAGCUAGUUGGCGGGGCGACGGCCCACCAAGGCGACGAUCAGUAGGGGUUCUGAGAGGAAGGUCCCCCACAUUGGAACUGAGACACGGUCCAAACUCCUACGGGAGGCAGCAGUGAGGAAUAGUGGUCAAUGGGCGGAAGCCUGAACCAGCCAAGUAGCGUGCAGGAUGACGGCCCUACGGGUUGUAAACUGCUUUUAUGCGGGGAUAAAGUGAGGGACGCGUCCCUUUUUGCAGGUACCGCAUGAAUAAGGACCGGCUAAUUCCGUG
rnacentral:rRNA from 1 species